rnacentral:rRNA from 1 species
GACGAACGCUGGCGGCGUGCUUAACACAUGCAAGUCGAACGGAAAGGCCCUGCUUUUGUGGGGUGCUCGAGUGGCGAACGGGUGAGUAACACGUGAGUAACCUGCCCUUGACUUUGGGAUAACUUCAGGAAACUGGGGCUAAUACCGGAUAGGAGCUCCUGCUGCAUGGUGGGGGUUGGAAAGUUUCGGCGGUUGGGGAUGGACUCGCGGCUUAUCAGCUUGUUGGUGGGGUAGUGGCUUACCAAGGCUUUGACGGGUAGCCGGCCUGAGAGGGUGACCGGCCACAUUGGGACUGAGAUACGGCCCAGACUCCUACGGGAGGCAGCAGUGGGGAGUAUUGCACAAUGGGCGGAAGCCUGAUGCAGCAACGCCGCGUGCGGGAUGACGGCCUUCGGGUUGUAAACCGCUUUCGCCUGUGACGAAGCGUGAGUGACGGUAAUGAGUAAAGAAGCACCGGCUAACUACGUG